GCUUUGUACCCUAAACAGACCAUGGGAGGGUAUACCACCUGAUCGGGUCGUUUAUGCUGUUGCCAAUGAAGGAUCAAGGUUAGAGAUACCUGAAGGACCCCUCGGCAAACUAAUAGCAGAUUGCUGGGCAGAGCCAAACGAAAGACCUAAUUGUGAGGAAAUUUUCACUCGACUUCUUGACUGUGAAUACUCACUGUGCUAAGUGAAUUCACUUUUUCUUUGUGUAGUGGAAUACAUUGUAGAGGCUUUAAUUGAUGUGCUGCUGAAGUUUUUACUUUCAUAUGUUUUUCCAGUUUAGGCCUGCACUCAAAAUAUAGAAAUAUUCCUGUUUUUGUAAUACCAGCAUGCAAUGAUAAGAGGUGAUGAUCUCUUUGUCACAUUAAA
rnacentral:misc_RNA from 1 species